CCAGCUCUAGACGUGCAGCAGGGAAUUCGCCCAGGACACCGGCUUCAGCUUUAGCAGUGACUGCAUACUGUUGGCAUUCUUGACCCCAAGCAACCUUGGCCUGAAGGACAUUUGUGUUCAAAGGAUGCAGGGCACCAUCAGCACAGAUCUUCAUGUUGUCAUUUUCAGCGAUGGAGGAAACAACGAGCUGCACUCUUGCUGUUGGCUUGUCAAAGUAUGCAGCAAGUUGGUAGCCCAGCAGCUUGUGGUCAACUCUCACAGCACGGGCAAUGACAGCAAAAACAGGUGGAAGAGCACUUCCGAGGAAUAUAGCCUGAAAGCAUAAACCAUAAUCAAUUUAAGUGGAAUUUAGUACAAAAUGUCACCUUUGGAUUAUAUGUUAUUAAUGACACUAGUUGAUUCACCUGUUUCUGGAGAGCCUCAAAGCUAGAUGCAGUGCUUCCACUGCUUACUGCCUUUGAAGCACCAUGGGGUGCCAUGAACUGCAAGCAAAAAUAAGUUUUGUAAUAAGUAAUCAAUAUAAUCUAAAGUAAUGAUAUUAAAAAUAGUAUUUUUAGUAGUUA